AUUGAACGCUGGCGGCAGGCCUAACACAUGCAAGUCGAGCGGAUGACGGGAGCUUGCUCCUUGAUUCAGCGGCGGACGGGUGAGUAAUGCCUAGGAAUCUGCCUGGUAGUGGGGGACAACGUUUCGAAAGGAGCGCUAAUACCGCAUACGUCCUACGGGAGAAAGCAGGGGACCUUCGGGCCUUGCGCUAUCAGAUGAGCCUAGGUCGGAUUAGCUAGUAGGUGAGGUAAUGGCUCACCUAGGCGACGAUCCGUAACUGGUCUGAGAGGAUGAUCAGUCACACUGGAACUGAGACACGGUCCAGACUCCUACGGGAGGCAGCAGUGGGGAAUAUUGGACAAUGGGCGAAAGCCUGAUCCAGCCAUGCCGCGUGUGUGAAGAAGGUCUUCGGAUUGUAAAGCACUUUAAGUUGGGAGGAAGGGCAGUAAGUUAAUACCUUGCUGUUUUGACGUUACCGACAGAAUAAGCACCGGCUAACUCUGUGCCAGCAGCCGCGGUAA
rnacentral:rRNA from 1 species